rnacentral:rRNA from 1 species
CAGCCGCCGCGGGAAUACGAAGGGGGCUAGCGUUGUUCGGAUUUACUGGGCGUAAAGCGCACGUAGGCGGAUCGAUCAGUCAGGGGUGAAAUCCCAGAGCUCAACUCUGGAACUGCCUUUGAUACUGUCGAUCUGGAGUAUGGAAGAGGUGAGUGGAAUUCCGAGUGUAGAGGUGAAAUUCGUAGAUAUUCGGAGGAACACCAGUGGCGAAGGCGGCUCACUGGUCCAUUACUGACGCUCAUGCACGAAAGCGUGGGGAGCAAACAGGAUUAGAUACCCCGGUAGUCCCUGUCUCUUAUAC